UUAAGUGACUAAGCGUACAAGGUGGAUGCCUUGGCAAUCAGAGGCGAAGAAGGACGUGCUAAUCUGCGAAAAGCUUGGAUGAGUCGAUAAGAGGCGUUUAAUCCAAGAUAUCCGAAUGGGGAAACCCAGUAGAUGAAGAAUCUACUAUCAACAAGUGAAUUCAUAGCUUGUUGAGGCAAACCGGGAGAACUGAAACAUCUAAGUACCCCGAGGAAAAGAAAUCAACCGAGAUUUCGUCAGUAGCGGCGAGCGAAAGCGAAAGAGCCAGUAAGUGAUAACAGUAUGGUUAGGAGAAUGUGUUGGGAAGCACAAUCAAAGAGGGUGAUAAUCCCGUAUCUAAAAACCAUAUUGUGGUACUAAGCUAACGAGAAGUAGGGCGGGACACGUGAUAUCCUGUUUGAAGAAGGGGGGACCAUCCUCCAAGGCUAAAUACUCCUGAUUGACCGAUAGUGAACCAGUACUGUGAAGGAAAGGCGAAAAGAACCCCGGUGAGGGGAGUGAAAUAGAACCUGAAACCUUGUACGUACAAGCAGUGGGAGCCCCAUCACUUAAUCCGAUUGGAAGGUGAUGAAAAGCAACCGCACUUAAACAAUGGUAAGAGGAGCGAAGCGAGUCAAACCACCCAAAAGAAGCAGUGGGAUUAAGUGAUGGGGUGACUGCGUACCUUUUGUAUAAUGGGUCAGCGACUUAUAUUUUGUAGCGAGGUUAACCGAAUAGGGGAGCCGAAGGGAAACCGAGUCUUAACUGGGCGUCUAGUUGCAAGGUAUAGACCCGAAACCCGGUGAUCUAGCCAUGGGCAGGUUGAAGGUUGGGUAACACUAACUGGAGGACCGAACCGACUAAUGUUGAAAAAUUAGCGGAUGACUUGUGGCUGGGGGUGAAAGGCCAAUCAAACCGGGAGAUAGCUGGUUCUCCCCGAAAUCUAUUUAGGUAGAGCCUUGAGGUGACACCUUUGGGGGUAGAGCACUGUUUCGGCUAGGGGUCCAUCCCGGAUUACCAACCCGAUGCAAACUACGAAUACCAAAGAGUGAUACUCAGGAGACACACGGCGGGUGCUAACGUCCGUCGUGGAGAGGGAAACAACCCAGACCGCCAGCUAAGGUCCCCAAGUCUAUAUUAAGUGGGAAACGAAGUGGGAAGGCUUAGACAGCUAGGAUGUUGGCUUAGAAGCAGCCAUCAUUUAAAGAAAGCGUAAUAGCUCACUAGUCGAGUCGGCCUGCGCGGAAGAUGUAACGGGGCUGAAAUAUAGCACCGAAGCUGCGGCAUCAGGCGUAUCACUAAUACGCCUUACGAUUAACAACAUGGAAUGGCGCGAAGCGACAUGAAAGGUUGUUCAAGCAACCCGAACGUUGAGUCGGGCAUCUUAGAGUGAGGAUGAUUAGUGAUACGCCUGUUGGGUAGGGGAGCGUUGUGUAAGCGGAAGAAGGUUCAUCGAGAGGUGGGCUGGACGUAUCACAAGUGCGAAUGCUGACAUAAGUAACGAUAAAACGGGUGAAAAACCCGUUCGCCGGAAGACCAAGGGUUCCUGUCCAACGUUAAUCGGGGCAGGGUGAGUCGGCUCCUAAGGCGAGGCUGAAAAGCGUAGUCGAUGGGAAACAGGUUAAUAUUCCUGUACUUGGUAAAGCUGCGAUGUGGGGACGGAGUAGGUUAGGUUAUCGCACUGUUGGAUAUGUGCGUUUAAGUUGGUAGGUGGGAAGUUUAGGCAAAUCCGGACUUCCUUAACACAGAGAGAUGAUGACGAGGCUCUACGGAGCUGAAGUAACUGAUACCACACUUCCAGGAAAAGCCACUAAGCGAAAGGCUUUACUAAACCGUACUGAAAACCGACACAGGUGGUCAGGUAGAGAAUACUCAGGCGCUUGAGAGAACUCGGGUGAAGGAACUAGGCAAAAUAGCACCGUAACUUCGGGAGAAGGUGCGCCGGCGUAGAUUGUAGUCCCUAGCGGGCGAAGGUUGAACCGGUCGAAGAUACCAGCUGGCUGCAACUGUUUAUUAAAAACACAGCACUCUGCAAACACGAAAGUGGAGGUAUAGGGUGUGAUGCCUGCCCGGUGCUGGAAGGUUAAUUGAUGGUGUCAUCGCAAGAGAAGCACCUGAUCGAAGCCCCAGUAAACGGCGGCCGUAACUAUAACGGUCCUAAGGUAGCGAAAUUCCUUGUCGGGUAAGUUCCGACCUGCACGAAUGGCAUAAUGAUGGCCAGGCUGUCUCCACCCGAGACUCAGUGAAAUUGAAAUCGCCGUGAAGAUGCGGUGUACCCGCGGCUAGACGGAAAGACCCCGUGAACCUUUACUAUAGCUUGACACUGAACAUUGAAUUUUGAUGUGUAGGAUAGGUGGGAG
rnacentral:rRNA from 1 species